CGAAGUAGGAAUUUAUGCGUUAAGUGUUCAUUGGCUGGGGAGUCGCCGUGAAACGAAAAGCUGUUUACAUCAUGAAGAAAGCUUACGAUAUAUUUUCCGCACCCGUUG
rnacentral:ncRNA from 1 species